CCGUAAUGUAGUAAAGCUCAUUAAAAACCCCCAAGCUAAAAUGCUAAUAGAAAGGACACCUAUUUCUUUUUUGCUUUUAGUGUCUGUUGCUGUCUGAUGUUAUACUAGAACACAGGCCUGGGAGUUAACUCAGUGAUAUUGAGAAUGACAUGGUGAUUGACAUAUGCAAAGAAAAGAUGUGGUAGAGUUGCUUCAAGGAUUUUACUGUUCUUUGUUGUUUUUACCCCAUGCUUUUGGAUAAGUCUUUUAUUUAAUGUUUGCCCGUAUACGAUUGCUGUUGCAAAUCAACAUUUCUUCUUUGCAGGAAGUUCAUGCUGGUUUUAAAACAUUUCAAGCAACAGAAUUUAUUUUAUGAGCUAACAUGACCAAACAUGUAGUACAUAGGCAUAUGUUUUCCCAUCCUUGCUCUGGGGAUAUCUUCAUUUCCUAUUUUCUGUAUUUUUUUUCUCCUAUAUCUUGUUUUCUUUUGCCCUUUAGGAAAAAAAAAAAAAUGUCCUUAUCAGUAUAUCUCUUGCCUUCUUCCCUCUUUUUCUCUAAAUUGACCUUUCUGUCUUCCCCUCACUCAUCCCAGGGUAUAUCUGCCCAUGCCUCAAGACAAAGGGUUAUCUUGACCCUCAUAGUAUAACAGUGGUGUUAAUUUGUACCUUCCACCAUUUUUCCUGCCAGUAAAGAAAAGCUAAUCCAGUCUUCAUGGCUUACUGCAAAUGGGCACAGUUAGAAAUGAAUUACAUGUAAGACAAAUUUAUUUAACUUAGUUCUUCUUGAAAUUCAUAAAAAUACCUCAAGAAAACGGAAGUGUAACAACUAAGAUUCAAAUGACAAUGAUUUAAUAAGUAAAUGGAGUUGUGCUAACCCUGGGUGAAGGAUUAUCAUCUUCUCAUCUGAGAAUAAUACAGAGGAUAGUGAACAUGGUUCUCCAGGCAGUGAGACCUUCUGCAUACUGGGGGUCCUCCUAACCACAAAGAAUAUACAACAGUAGAGCAGUACGCAUCUUUUUUUUUCCCCUCUAUAAAAUUCACUCAGUUUCCGUAAAAGGGUACUUUUCAUUCAUUAUUUAUAUUAGAAUAAACAAACUGCAGGUGUAGUUCGAAGAAAACUUUUUUUCCUUAGGCGAUGUUUUUUCUGCUUUCCUUAAUCUUAGAUAUUUAUCCGGUGCUAGGCUGUGCCAUAUCGAGCAUGACUUUCAUCCUCUGGAUCUACAGACAUCAAGAGAGAUAGGAGGAUCCCCUUCCACGUCUGCAGCUUAUGGGGGUAGGUUUACUUUCUGUUUGUGUGUAUGGCAAAGGAGGAGGGCCUAUAGAGAGACCCUACAUUCCUGAUUACUGUUUAUUCAGAGCCAGUGAGGGGAUGACAUUUUUUCACCACAGUUCCAAUUUGCGUGCUGACGUUAAGUGAAAAAUAAAAUCAACUCUUCUUCCAGGAUAAAGGACCGAUAGCACAGAGGACAUUAGUGUUGCAUUUAGACUCAUAUAAAGUAGUUUUUAAUGAAAAAGCCUUACUGUAAAACAAACUUUUUCCUGGACACUAGUUUUCAGGGAGGAAGGAAGAAACAAGAAUGAGAAGACUAUUUCUGCAGAACAUCGAGAUAUUUCAUGAAUCACAUGCUCUUACUGAGGAAGAAGAGACAGCGAAAAGGAAGCAAUGAUGAAGAACUCAAGCAUGUGUUCCUUCAGACAUCUUUACAACUAAACAUCACUUAUUUAUCACUUCAUAAGCUCAAAUUGAGGGUACCUACUUUGCCACAGAAGCGGCCCUGGCAAGGAGUUUCAACUGACAGAACUCAGCUAGCAAAAGAAGAUAAACAGAGAAGUAAGACUGCCUGUUGCUGGUGUCAUUGGCAAACCAAGAUCUUGCUGCUCAACUGUUACGUGCUCAACAGAACCUUUUAUGAACUAAGGUGUUUCUCUUUAAAGAUGGGUAUUUGCUAUAUGGAAGUGGAGAACACAUGCAUUUACCUGGCUACUCAGCCUGUACAGAAAGAGAUUACAGUGACUAAGAGCAGCAGGGCCUAAGGAACUGCUGAGGCAGUUAAUCAACAUGACUGCACUUUCCCAGAACACGGAGUAAGUAUGCUGUAAAUAUGGAAUAUUCAGUCCCAGGAGAACUAGGACUUUCUGAUGCAAUUUGUGAAAGAUAAAAC
rnacentral:lncRNA from 1 species